CGGAUCGGAGUCUGCAACCCGACUCCGUGAAGCUGGAUUCGCUAGUAAUCGCGCAUCAGCCAUGGCGCGGUGAAUACGUUCCCGGGCCUUGUACACACCACCCGUCAAGCCAUGGGAGCCGGGAGUGCCUGAAGGCCGUGACCGCAAGGAGCGGCCUAAGGUAAAACUGGUGACUGGGGCUAAGUCGUAACAAGGUACC
rnacentral:rRNA from 1 species